rnacentral:pre_miRNA from 1 species
AUAAUACUCCCUCCGUCCCAAAAUUCUUGUCUUAAAUUUGUCUAGAUAUGAAUGUAUCUAGUCAUGUUUUAGUAUUUAGAUACAUUCAUUUCUAGACAAACCUAAGACAAGAAUUUUGGGACGGAGGGAGUAGUUA